GUCCUCUUGUUUGUAUUUAGGAGGUCAGGCCUGCCCAGUGAUAAUUUUAACGGCCGCGGUAUUUUGACCGUGCAAAGGUAGCAUAAUCAUUAGUCUUUUAAUAGGAGGCUGGAAUGAAAGGUUAAACGAGGCAUUAGCUGUCUCAUUUUUAUUUUAGAAUUUAAUAUUUAAGUAAAAAAGCUUAAAUUUUGUUGGUAGACGAGAAGACCCUAUAGAGCUUUAUAUUUAUUUUUCUAAAUGAAUUUGGUUACAAAUUUUACUUUUAUUGAAUAAAGUAUUUUGUUGGGGUGACAAAAAGAUAUGAUUAACUUUUAUUAUUUUCAGACCAUAGAUUUAUGAAUAUUGGAUCCAAUAUUAUUGAUCAUUAGUCUAAGUUACCUUAGGGAUAACAGCGUAAUCUUCCCUCAGAGUUCAGAUUUACGGGAAGGCUUGCGACCUCGAUGUUGGAUUAAGAUAAUAGUUAGGUGUAGAAGCUUAAUUAAUAGGUCUGUUCGACCUUUAAAUUCUUACAUGAUCUGAGUUCAAACCGG
rnacentral:rRNA from 1 species